UUCAGAGCAAUGGAUAGCGCGUUGAACUUCUAAUUUAAAGGCCGUGGGUUCAAUUGCCUCCUGGGAAG